GACGAACGCUGGCGGCGUGCUUAACACAUGCAAGUGGAGCGACGAACCGGGCUUCGGCCCGGGGCAAAGCCGCGAACGGGUGAGUAUCACGUGGGUAACCUGCCCCGAUGACCGGGACAACCCGAGGAAACUCGGGCUAAUACCGGAUGUGCUCGCAGCACACCAGUGCAGUGAGUAAAGGAAGCUUCGGCCUCCGCAUUGGGAUGGGCCCGCGGCCCAUUAGCUUGUUGGUGAGGUAAAGGCUCACCAAGGCGACGAUGGGUAGCUGGUCUGAGAGGACGAUCAGCCACACUGGGACUGAGACACGGCCCAGACUCCUACGGGAGGCAGCAGUGGGGAAUCUUGCGCAAUGCGCGAAAGCGUGACGCAGCAACGCCGCGUGAGGGAAGACGGCCUUCGGGUUGUAAACCUCUUUCAGGAGGGACGAAGGUUCAGGCGCGAAUAGCGUCCUGGACUGACGGUACCUCCAGAAGAAGCCCCGGCUAACUACGUGCCAGCAGCCGCGGUAAUACGUAGGGGGCUAGCGUUGUCCGGAAUCAUUGGGCGUAAAGAGCGUGUAGGCGGCCCGGUAAGUCCGCUGUGAAAGUCAAAGGCUCAACCUUUGAAUGUCAGCGGAUACUGCCGGGCUAGAGUCCGGAAGAGGCGAGUGGAACUCCUGGUGUAGCGGUGGAAUGCGCAGAUAUCAGGAAGAACACCAACGGCGAAGGCAGCUCGCUGGGACGGUACUGACGCUGAGACGCGAAAGCGUGGGGAGCGAACAGGAUUAGAUACCCUGGUAGUCCACGCCGUAAACGAUGGGCACUAGGUGUGGGAGGUGUCGACUCCUCCCGUGCCGGCGCUAACGCAUUAAGUGCCCCGCCUGGGGAGUACGGCCGCAAGGCUA
rnacentral:rRNA from 1 species